UACAGAGGGUGCAAGCGUUGUUCGGAAUUACUGGGCGUAAAGCGUGCGCAGGCGGUGAUGUAAGACAGGUGUGAAAUCCCCGGGCUUAACCUGGGAACUGCAUUUGUGACUGCAUCGCUGGAGUGCGGCAGAGGGGGAUGGAAUUCCGCGUGUAGCAGUGAAAUGCGUAGAUAUGCGGAGGAACACCGAUGGCGAAGGCAAUCCCCUGGGCCUGCACUGACGCUCAUGCACGAAAGCGUGGGGAGCAAACAGG
rnacentral:rRNA from 1 species